rnacentral:rRNA from 1 species
AUUCUCCGAGAAUAUGCAGUGUCGAAGCGAAGGUGUUAAGCUCGCCGCCUGGGAAGUAUGGUCGCAAGACUGAAACUUAAAGGAAUUGGCGGGGGAGCACCACAAGGGGUGCGGCGUGCGGUUUAAUCUAACUCAACGCAGAGAAUCUCACCAGGGGCGACGGCAGGAUGAAAGUCAGCCUGAAGGGCUUACUUGACGAGCCGAGAGGUAGUGCAUGGUCGUCGUCAGCUCGUGCCGUGAGGUGUCCUCUUAAGUGAGGCAACGAGCGAGACCUGUACCUACACUUGCCAGCGAAUCCAUCGGAUGUUCGGGCACAGUGUAGGAACUGCCCUGGAAACAGGGAGGAAGGUGCAGGCGACGGUAGGUCUGUAUGCUCCGAAUCUCCUGGGCUACACGCGCGCAACAAUGGUAGGGACAAUGGGUCACAACCCCGAAAGGGGAAGUUAAUCCUCGAAACCCUAUCUAAGUCCAGAUUGAGGGUUGUAACUCACCCUCAUGACGAUGGAAUCCCUAGUAAUCAGAGGUCAACAUCCUCCGGUGAAUAUGUCCCUGCUCCUUGCACACACCGCCCGUCAAACCAACCGAGCAGGGUUUAGGUGAGUCUUGAUUUAUUGAUCAAAUCGAACCUAAGCUCAGUGAGGUGGGUUAAGUCGUAACAAGGUAGCC